CUGGACCUGGACGGGCCUGGGGCGCUCGGCGGUGCUUCCGUCGCCGAGCUGUGCGUUGGAGUUCUGCCCCCAGGCCCAGA
rnacentral:tRNA from 1 species